rnacentral:rRNA from 1 species
AGUGAACGCUGGCGGCGUGCCUAAUACAUGCAAGUCGAACGAAGUGGCGCACGGGUGAGUAAUAUAUAGUUAAUCUGCCCUACACAGAGGAACAACAGUUGGAAACGACUGCUAAUACCUCAUAGUGUAGGAUGAGACUAUAUCGUAUCAGCUAGUUGGUAAGGUAAUGGCUUACCAAGGCUAUGACGCGUAACUGGUCUGAGAGGAUGAUCAGUCACAUUGGAACUGAGACACGGUCCAGACUCCUACGGGAGGCAGCAGUGGGGAAUAUUAGGCAAUGGGCGCAAGCCUGACCCAGCAACGCCGCGUGAAGGAAGACGGUCUUCGGAUUGUAAACUUCUUUAGACAGGGACGCGGUACCUGUAGAAUAAGCCACGGCUAACUACGUGCCAGCAGCCGCGGUAAUUC